rnacentral:rRNA from 1 species
UACGGAGGAUGCGAGCGUUAUCCGGAUUUAUUGGGUUUAAAGGGUGCGCAGGCGGCGCGUUAAGUCAGCGGUAAAAUUUCGGGGCUCAACCCCGACGAGCCGUUGAAACUGGCGCGCUGGAGUUGGAGAGAAGUACGCGGAAUUCGUGGUGUAGCGGUGAAAUGCUUAGAUAUCACGCAGAACUCCGAUUGCGAAGGCAGCAUACCGGCGCUCAACUGACGCUCAUGCACGAAAGCGUGGGUAUCGAA